rnacentral:rRNA from 1 species
CCCGCUGAACUUAAGCAUAUCAAUAAGCGGAGGAAAAGAAACUAACAAGGAUUCCCCUAGUAACUGCGAGUGAAGCGGGAAAAGCUCAAAUUUAAAAUCUGGUGGCCUUUGGCCAUCCGAGUUGUAAUUUAGAGAAGCGUCUUCCGCGCCGGACCGUGCACAAGUCUCCUGGAAUGGAGCGUCAUAGAGGGUGAGAAUCCCGUCUUUGGCACGGACGACCGGGGCUUUUGUGAUGCGCUCUCGAAGAGUCGAGUUGUUUGGGAAUGCAGCUCAAAAUGGGUGGUGAACUCCAUCUAAAGCUAAAUAUUGGCGAGAGACCGAUAGCGAACAAGUACCGUGAGGGAAAGAUGAAAAGCACUUUGGAAAGAGAGUGAAACAGUACGUGAAAUUGUUGAAAGGGAAACGCUUGAAGUCAGUCGCGUCGUCCGAGACUCAGCCUCGCCUCGGCUUGGUGUACUUCUCGGCCGACGGGUCAGCAUCAAUUUUGCCCCUUGGAUAAUGGCGAAGGAAAUGUGACACCUUUACGGGUGUGUUAUAGUCUCUUGUCGCAUGCAAGGGUCGGGAUUGAGGAACUCAGCACGCGCCUUCGGGUGUCGGGGUUUUGCCCACGAUACGUGCUUAGGAUGUUGGCGUAAUGGCUUUAAACGACCCGUCUUGAAACACCGG